AGUCUUUAUAUAGCGACUGUUUGUAUUCCAGAUGUCUUUGUGCUUAUGAACUGCCUUUGACACACAUCUGUAAGAGAUCCAUGAAGCAAACAGCACUAAGGGAGACUGCUCAGGCUGGGGAUUCGUGGUCAUCCAAAGGAACUUUUAGAAGAAAACACCUUUAUACUCUUUGCUCCAAAGCUUAUAAUGAAAGCAAAUAUCUGAAUCAGAAUUCAUGUCUCUAAAGAGAAAAUGCUUCGUGUAAGACUCGGCAGUGCGCUUUGGAAAGCAGUGAUUUUCUAGGGAGCAGCCGGUCUUUAGCCACGUGUGACAGAAGGAACACGGAACUCGGAAUUCGGGCGCCUGGUUCAGGAUGGGGUGUGGAAGACACGGAUGGAUGUUGAAGGAGGAAGCGAGACCCUGAGUAUUUCCUAGAGGAAGAGGAAACCUUGUUUCAGGUUGGCUGGUGUGGGAGGGUGUGGACAGCCAUGGAGGGCUGCUGAAGAAGGCAGACACCCUUAGAAAUGUACCUCUGCCUUCGUCCUCAUGGUCCAUUUUCCACCUAAAUAUCUCUUAACACCACUCCUUUCUGCACACCUGCUCAUCCCAGCCAUCAUCUCAUGCUUGUAUUGGCCCACAGGGACCUGCUGACAAAGCACGUGAGCCAUUUGUCAGAAAUCACUCAACUUCAUGAUGCAUGUGCGCAAGUGAAUACCAUCCAAUAGCUCAAUCUAAACACUGUCUGUGUCCUGGCAUCUGGUACAAGUGAGAAAGGGUGUGGGCAGAAGACAGUGAGCGGAAGCGGCAAGUAGGAAUUUAGGGAGCGAUGUAAAUGCAAUCGUGACACCUCUCCAGACUCCCUGAGGUCUCCCCCUCCUCCCCAUGAAGCCAUGAGUGAAAGGAGAAGCCAGAAGUGUGAACACGGAAGGCAGGGUCCACCCUGCAGGGCACAGACGCACAGCAUCUUUCCUCAUUGUGGGGCCGACGGAGCCGCAGUACAGAAAACAUGCCCAGCUGUCCCUCCUCCCUCCGAGAACUCCUUCUCCUACAGAGAGGAAAGGAGCCUUGGAGCUCUCAGCAAACCUCCCUCCCUAUGUCCAGAUGCCUGUCAUCCUCAUUCUGUCAUGUUUUGAGCUCUCACAGCAGCCAGAACACCACCUGCCUCUUGGCCUGCACAGCCUUUCUUGGACUAUUCAGAGGCCACAACCUCAAGCAAACUUCGGGCAGGAGCGUGUGUGUGAAAGCCACUAGGGUGGUGUGGACCAGCAGUGCGUGGACCCCGGGGAGAGAUAGUCACCACAGGUGCACGUGUGUACCGGGGCCGGGAAGAGACCAGAGGGGCAGGAGCAUGUGUGGGGACCAUGAGCAAGAAUUCCAUAGCAGCAAGAGGCAUGCUCAGAAAGUCGUGAGAAUGAAGUGGGCAUCUGUAAGAACAGGAAAUAGAAUCUUCCCCAGGAUCACCUGUGAUCCAUGGAAAGGGACUGGAGACAUGGAAAGACAACAGGCAAAGGACGGGCGACUCCCCAGCGUUAACUCACAUUCCCGCCGGCGGUGCACCAGCAACUUUUCUAUCAGAUGUCCACAGCUGUAAGCCUCUUUUGGGCCAGAAGAAAAGUGGUAACCUAACAGUUGACCUUCUCCUUGCAAAAUUAUCCCCUUGAAGAUACCCAAUCAGUUUCUCUUUCUGAAAUC
rnacentral:lncRNA from 1 species